rnacentral:rRNA from 1 species
AUUGAACGCUGGCGGCAUGCCUUACACAUGCAAGUCGAACGGUAACGGGCCUUCGGGUGCCGACGAGUGGCGAACGGGUGAGUAAUACAUCGGAACGUGCCCGAUCGUGGGGGAUAACGAGGCGAAAGCUUUGCUAAUACCGCAUACGAUCUACGGAUGAAAGCAGGGGACCGCAAGGCCUUGCGCGGUCCGCGCGGCCGAUGGCAGAUUAGGUAGUUGGUGGGAUAAAAGCUUACCAAGCCGACGAUCUGUAGCUGGUCUGAGAGGAUGAUCAGCCACACUGGGACUGAGACACGGCCCAGACUCCUACGGGAGGCAGCAGUGGGGGAUUUUGGACAAUGGGCGCAAGCCUGAUCCAGCCAUGCCGCGUGCAGGAUGAAGGCCUUCGGGUUGUAAACUGCUUUUGUACGGAACGAAAAGCCUUCUUCUAAUACAGGAGGGUCAUGACGGUACCGUAAGAAUAAGCACCGGCUAACUACGUGCCAGCCGCCGCAGUAA